rnacentral:rRNA from 1 species
GACGAACCGUACGAACGUUAUUCGGAAUUACUGGGCUUAAAGGGUGCGUAGGCGGCGCAGUAAGUAGGGUGUGAAAUCCCUCGGCCUAACCGAGGAACCGCGCCCUAAACUACUGUGCUCGAGGGAGAAUAGAGGUGAGCGGAACUUAAGGGUGGAGCGGUGAAAUGCGUUGAUAUCCUAAGGAACACCGGUGGCGAAAGCGGCUCACUGGAUCUCUUCGUGACGCUUGAGGCACGAAAGCUAGGGUAGCGAACGGG